UUAAUUUGUUUAAUUUGAGUCAUUUCAUGAUAUUUUUUACUUUGAAAUUUAAGCUAAUUAUAUACACUUUAAUGAAUUUAUAGUCAUAAAAAUUAUAUAAAAUAUGGUAACUAAAUAUGUAAAGAUAAACGAAACAUUUAAAUUUUGAAAUCAAACUAGACUGAUUCAAAUCAAAUAAAUUCAAAGAUUAAAUAUCAAAAUUAAAAUUUUGAAAGAUUAGAUAGCUAAUUCAAAAUUGUUAAUUCUAUGCAUUUUUACCUACAUUCUCACAACUUGAUUUUCUUUUCUUCUAUUGUUAACCUACACAAAACAAACUAAAAAAACUC
rnacentral:lncRNA from 1 species